UAUCCAAAUUCCCAAACUAACAUGGCCAUACUGGCUGGGAGUAAUAGUUGUGGAAACUAAGGUCCAAAACAUAACUUUUUCAAGUUUUGCAGGAAUGUAAACAAACAAACAAACAAACAACUGGUAAGGAAAUACCACAAAACAUUACAGUGUAUUCUCCUGUUGUUUGAUGUUGCACCCCUACUAAGCAAGAAGGGCUACAGGCUACACUGAUGACCUGCUCCCCCACCCCACUAACAGUAGCAAUUUCAGAAACAUUUUUCCAUGAGGCAGAGGAAAAAACAGCUGAAGCAAUUAGGUACUCAAUGAAUGUAAACUUAACUGAUUUUCUCUAACAGAUAUUGCAACAUAUGGAAUAUACCAAAUGGGAAAGAAGAGGAUUCAUUCUCUUCAUCGUAAAUAAAACUAGGAAGGGUGGAAGGAAGAACAAAGUGCCUCACACUUGCCCUCUGCCUCCAUUUCAGGGUCCAGUGAAAAGAGCUUUUUUUGCUCCAGAAAAUACAAAGAAUGAUGAUUUUACGACGUCCCACGUUUGGCUAACUAAAGUACAUAGACGGGAUUGGAUACCCCUUUCCCCAAAUACAGUGCUUUCAUGUAGCUCAUAAAGUACGUACAAGUGGAGAUCAUCCCAUUCAAAGCAAGGGUGCUUCUUGGACCUAAGAAACUUGAACCACUCAUCAAGUGGAUUAUUAUGUGAACAAAAGGAAUACAGAAGAUUCUGCAAUGAAGAGUCAGGGGUCUUGAGUUCCUGAGCUUACAAAAUAAUAAUGAGCUUCCAUGGGGAAAAACCAUAUGCUUGACUUUGCAUAGUGCAUGCAUGCAUCUCAACCUUACGUCAGCAAUAAACAAAGAUGCUACACAAUUCA
rnacentral:lncRNA from 1 species